GAUAUACAGGUAGCCUAGUGGACAUGGCAUCUGCCCGGUAAGCGGAACAAUGUGGGUUCGUUUCCCAUCUCUAGUCA
rnacentral:tRNA from 1 species